GAGGGAGUAGCUACUAGCUGGUGCAUUGUGCACUUGUGCGUACGUGAUUGUUGUGCAAACGGUUAAUUUGUUACGGUAUGUUACUUGUAUAUUAUCAUCGGUAAUACGUGUAGUGGCACUUGGAACGAUUGAACGAACGGUUGUUUCAGAAAACCUUCUAUAUAGGCUGCUUUGCAUCGUUCGCGACAACUUAGCAGACAGAGCACAUAUGGGAGUCUUUGCGAGGUUGGUUGAAGGAACUGGCUAGGGGCAUGCAUACAUCCAGGUGCAAUGGAAAUUAUGUAAGCUACCAUUAGAUGCAAAGUGCAAUGGACAAAAGAGCUGGAGUACUACCACAGUUCAAUGUCUCGCGCGUAUGAAAAUAUUAUCGGUCUCAGUAGGGAAUCGGAGGGAGGUUUAGUUCAUAACUUCAUAUUGUUCAACUUUGAUGCGUCUCCUCAGACAACCAGCGGUAAACUCUCAAUAACAACCAGCAGGUUCAUUACAUGGGCCAAGCCCAACAUGCAAUAGGCUUGUAGGCCCAAAACUCGAAC
rnacentral:lncRNA from 1 species